rnacentral:rRNA from 1 species
ACGUAGGACACAAGCGUUAUCCGGAGUUACUGGGCGUAAAGGGCGUGUAGGCGGGUUGGUAAGUCUAUUCUGAAAGCUCCUGGCUAAACUGGGAGAGGCGAAUGGAGACUGCCAGUCUAGAGUGAGGAAGAGGAAAGUGGAAUUCCGCGUGUAGUGGUGAAAUGCGUAGAGAUGCGGAGGAACACCAGUGGCGAAAGCGACUUUCUGGUCCUUAACUGACGCUGAGGCGCGAAAGCAUGGGGAGCGAACGGGAUUAGAAACCCCGGUAGUCCAUGCCAUAAACGAUGUUCACUAAACGUUCGUUUCCCGCGAGGGAAGUGGGUGUUGAAGCUAACGCAGUAAGUGAACCGCCUGGGGAGUACGGUCGCAAGGCUA